rnacentral:rRNA from 1 species
UACGAAGGGGGCUAGCGUUGUUCGGAAUUACUGGGCGUAAAGCGUGCGCAGGCGGCUUCUCAAGUCAGGGGUGAAAGCCCAGAGCUUAACUCUGGAAUUGCCUUUGAGACUGAGAGGCUUGAGUACGGGAGAGGUGAGUGGAAUUCCCAGUGUAGAGGUGAAAUUCGUAGAUAUUGGGAAGAACACCAGUGGCGAAGGCGGCUCACUGGCCCGAUACUGACGCUGAGGCACGAAAGCGUGGGGAGCAAACAGG